AUCCAAGACUACAUGCAAACACUCCUCAUUUCACUUUCAUAAUUUACAACACCAAAACUUUCAUCUUUCCUUUUCCCUUCUUUGUUGAAAUCGGCCAAGCCAAACAAUUCCCAUCUUCACUUCCAAAAAUCUAAACAGCUAGAAAUUCGUACAUACAUGGAGGUGCAUGGUUGAUUCAAAGCAUUUCCAAGACUUGAAGAUACACUAGAAGCACUUUGGUAGCACUAGGAGUUCUUGAAUCAUCAACAUUUUCAUAUCAUCAUCUUUAUUUUUCUAGCAAAAUUGUUAAGAAACGAACCGCGAACAAGGAAUCGAAUAGAGAUUUGCACGGAACGCAAAUCUGAGAUUAGUGGACGGCUUUGGAAAAAUAUGUUCAAGUGGUUAUCAAGAACACAAGCUUUUGUGAUGUCAUCCAUUUUUGGUUGUUAUGUUUUGAACUUUGAAUAAUGUAGUUAAAGUUGUUGUUGUUUCAUGUUUCAAACAAGACAUAUGUAAUGUAAAUUAUGGUUUCGAAUCAAAUGUAUGG